GCUACAAAGCAGAGCAGAUUAUGAAGCUCCUCGAUCCUCAGCAGGGAAUUUCACACCGGCACACGCAGACCUCUGGUUUUGUCGUGGCAUGUUGCAUAUGCCUUCCUGUACAGGAGCGUGUUCUUCUCUCUGAAAUCAGCUGAGCAAGGUGCCCUGCGCCCGCAGGUUACUGCCAGCCGUGGUGAAUGAAUUUCGACAGCUGCACGGCCACAGAUAGUCACAUUGUGUCAUGACAGAGCUGGGGCCAAAGAGAGGGAGGAAUACAGGAGAGGAAGAGCCUCUCGCUGCUGACCUGAGACCUGUCAAAGCCCCUUCAGCCUGCUGUGCCAUCACGUCAACAACAUCUGCUAACAAUCUGCCUACAAUUAGUCAGAUGCCCGGGAAGCUUUCGUCAAGCGACACCUGUUCAUUCUGCCAUCGCAGGAGGACACGUUCUGGCAGAGGGCCGAAUUAAACACACCGCUUUCUGCUAAAAUACAGAAAAUAGUGCAGGUUCUCAUUUGCUGAAGUGAAAGUCAACCUGACAUCACAACGGACGUGAUCAGUCCCUUCAGGGCAGGUCGGUCCAAUUGGCAAAGCAUCUUGCUGAGGCCUUCAGGCAGCUAUUUCCAGUCUUGAAGGUUUCUGUGGUUGCACUGCCACCCUUCUGCAACACGCUGUCAGGUUUACAAACGAUGGAAAGCACGUGUGACGACUGCACGAACGCUACAAUUAAUGCACGAUUUCUGGGAUCGAACAAAUCUGGAUUUAUUGGAUUUACCAAAAUUUGCAUGCUUUUGGCUUCACAAGACCUCAAUUGAUGGACUGGAGUGGGAUGGAUUGCUUGUGGAUUAUUCUGAUGUUUUUAUCAGCUGUUUGGACUCUCAUUACGACGGCACCCAUUCACUGCAGAGCAUCCAUUGGUGAGCAAGCAGCUGAAUGGAUUUAUUAUGCACCUCACCUGUCUUCAAAAUGGCACAAGCUGGUCACUUUAAAUGUCAGUCAAAUGGUCUGUUUCUAGACUGCCUGUGACAGCACUAAAUAAGAUGUCUGGUGUGAGUCAGCACUCAGAUGCUUGCUGACCGGGAAAGUAACUGUGUUAAGCAUGCAACAGAUUAAAACGUUCAGCUUUGGAAAGUUUCCCCCAGCACCAUUAAUGUUUUUCAUUUUCAUUAUCUGUCACUGGAGGUAUAAAUGCCAUGAGGAUUAGAGAAAUACAUGGACUCUCUGCUCGCCUGCCCUUCUGUGCUUAUCCGCCCUCGUCCUCCAUCCAUCCCCGGGUCGUUAAACUCCCGCCGGCAUUCGCCUCACGCUACACGGUCCGAGGCAAAGCUCCUGCGGCCGGGUCACAGACAAGCACAUAACCUGAGCGACUGGCCUAGUGUCUUAGGAAUUUCUAUAAUCCUGCAGAUCUAUUACAGAUAGCGCCACUGACACAGGCUACAGAGAUUAGAAGCAGCAGAUACUGACUGUAUUGAUUGGCCCUUCUCAUCCCUCGCUGCAUGGGUGUGUAAUGGAAACGCGGUAAUGAAUUCCAGGAGCCUGUCACAGUCCGAGACCUCUAAUUGAGUCGGAAGCGUGUGAAGAGUUGUGUGCGUAUAGACGUAUGACUUUAGAAAGGGAUUUACCCUUCUUAAAAAACGGUUGGCAUGGGUUUUUUGUCUUUCAUUCUCUUUAAUUCUUGACGCAGUGCUCUUCAAAAGCGUCAGUCGGUGCACGCAUGAGGUUUUGUUGCAGCUGAGGAUUAUUGUUGCUGUAAAGUUACAUCAUUUUCUACUCGAGGAAGUUCUUCUAUAAGCCCGUGAGCUCCUCAGUGCUAACAAACCACAGAAACACUGAUGAGGAGGAUGCAGUGAUGUAUCAGCGGCCGUAUUUGUGUGUUUUCACUGUUUUUUGAAAUUGGAUCAAAUGCCUGGUACAACCCUGUGCAUAUUUGAAGACUCUGUUGGGUGGAAUAAUUGUCUUUUUUAUUAUGAAAACUUCUGUAAACAUUCUUUAUUUGGACUAGUAACCUUAAUUUUUCAUCCCCCUUUGACAAAAGCAGGAAUCUAACAAAUCCAUUGAGGUUUUAAACAAGACAACUUUUUUGAAUGAUUAAAUAUAUUAACAACCUUAAUUCAAUAGACAAGCCCUAAUAUCUUAAGUAAAUUCAUGUUGUUUUCAAGAUGUUUAGAUAUUUUUACAGAAAUGCUACAUCACCUAAGAAAAGUAGUCUUGUUUUCCGAAACGUUUUUGCACGUACAAAACAAACAAAAAAAGAAAACAUUAGGCAACAAACCUGAAAUUCAAACUAUUGUUAAUAGGUCUAUAAUAUCAAAACUAAGGUGUAAAUAAUAAGUUUCUACUUCUUUUCCACUUGUAUUUUAAGUUAAUGUUGGUACUUUAUCAUUAUAUUCAUUUAGGUGUUGCAAAAACUCUCACUUAAAAGCAUCACAGCAACUUAAAUCCAGUUAGUGUUUCUGUCAGAUUUUGUAUUAACAUUCAUCUGAGGCUUUUCUCCAAACAAAAUGUGAGUUUAUAUGUAUAUCACAUAUCAGUAUGUGAUAUAUUCCCUGAAAUGCUUUUGUUUACAUACUGUUGUCUACACUUGCACUUGAAUUUUGCCUUGAGCUGUUUAUUUUUAUCCAAGCAAACACAGUGCAUGUUUCCCAUGAUGGACUACAUAAUGAUAAACAGUAUUUACAGUUAUUACUAAUAUCAGAGUUAAAAUAUGUAUGUUUGUUCUGGCACAUCGUCAUUCUAAAGGAAAAGAAACAGAUGCAUUUCCUUUGUUUUAAAUUCAAAAUGCAUUUCCUAACUUUUUGUAAGGCUAUUGCUUGAAUAGUUAGAGACACAUCUGAAAUCAAAACAGUGGAAAUGCUCUAACUGUGUGCCGGGAAUUACUGCUGUCAAAUCAGCUUUUUGCUUACUCGUCGUAGGUCAACCACAAUCAAUACAGUCUCUGACUGUAAAUUACUGUUUGUGGAGCGGAUUUCAUCUGGAAUCAAAUCACGGUUGUGUCAUGUUUUUCCUCAGUAAGUUAUUGGGUUUUUCUGCUAACAUGAGCAUUGGCCUCCUCAUCGGCGUAGCCAUCAUUUCAGAUAGUGAGGGGGACAGAAAUAUAUAUAACAUUACAAUAUAACAUUGCUGUAAUCUAUAUAAUUUACCAG
ensembl:lncRNA